AUUGAACGCUGGCGGCAGGCCUAACACAUGCAAGUCGAACGGUAACAGGAAGCAGCUUGCUGCUUUGCUGACGAGUGGCGGACGGGUGAGUAAUGUCUGGGAAACUGCCUGAUGGAGGGGGAUAACUACUGGAAACGGUAGCUAAUACCGCAUAACGUCGCAAGACCAAAGAGGGGGACCUUAGGGCCUCUUGCCAUCGGAUGUGCCCAGAUGGGAUUAGCUAGUAGGUGGGGUAACGGCUCACCUAGGCGACGAUCCCUAGCUGGUCUGAGAGGAUGACCAGCCACACUGGACCUGAGACACGGUCCAGACUCCUACGGGAGGCAGCAGUGGGGAAUAUUGCACAUGGGCGCAAGCCUGAUGCAGCCAUGCCGCGUGUAUGAAGAAGGCCUUCGGGUUGUAAAGUACUUUCAGCGGGGAGGAAGGGAGUAAAGUUAAUACCUUUGCUCAUUGACGUUACCCGCAGAAGAAGCACCGGCUAACUCCGUG
rnacentral:rRNA from 1 species